rnacentral:rRNA from 1 species
UAGCGGAAGUUUUCGGAUGGAAGCGGAUAUGACUUAGCGGCGGACGGGUGAGUAACGCGUGGAUAACCUGCCUCAUACAGGGGGAUAACAGUUAGAAAUGACUGCUAAUACCGCAUAAGCGCACAGGACCGCAUGGUCCGGUGUGAAAAACUCCGGUGGUAUGGGAUGGAUCCGCGUCUGAUUAGCUGGUUGGUGAGGUAACGGCCCACCAAGGCGACGAUCAGUAGCCGACCUGAGAGGGUGGCCGGCCACAUUGGGACUGAGACACGGCCCAAACUCCUACGGGAGGCAGCAGUGGGGAAUAUUGCACAAUGGGGGAAACCCUGAUGCAGCAACGCCGCGUGAGUGAAGAAGUAUUUCGGUAUGUAAAGCUCUAUCAGCAGGGAAGAAGAAAGACGGUACCUGACUAAGAAGCCCCGGCUAACUACGUGCCAGCAGCCGCGGUAAUACGUAGGGGGCAAGCGUUAUCCGGAUUUACUGGGUGUAAAGGGAGCGUAGACGGCUGUGCAAGUCUGAAGUGAAAGCCCGUGGCUCAACCGCGGAACUGCUUUGGAAACUGUAUAGCUUGAGUACUGGAGAGGCAGGCGGAAUUCCUAGUGUAGCGGUGAAAUGCGUAGAUAUUAGGAGGAACACCAGUGGCGAAGGCGGCCUGCUGGACAGAAACUGACGUUGAGGCUCGAAAGCGUGGGGAGCAAACAGGAUUAGAUACCCUGGUAGUCCAUGCGGUAAACGAUGAAUGCUAG